rnacentral:tRNA from 1 species
AGCGGUCGCCAGGGCGGGCGUCGUGACUUUUAAUCAGCUGGUCGUGGGUUCGAUACCCACCCCGCUC